CCUACGGGAGGCAGCAGUGGGGAAUAUUGGGCAAUGGGCGCAAGCCUGACCCAGCAACGCCGCGUGAAGGAAGAAGGCUUUCGGGUUGGAAACUUCUUUUGUCAGGGACGAAGCAAGUGACGGUCCCUGACGAAUAAGCCACGGCUAACUACGUGCCAGCGGCCGCGGUGAUACGUAGGUGGCAAGCGUUUUCCGGAUUUACUGGGUGUAAAGGGCUAGUAGGCGGGACUGCAAGGCAGAUGGGCAAACCACGGGCCAAACCUAUGGCCUGCAGUUGAAACUGUAGGUCUCGAGUACGGGAGAGGCAGACGGAAUGCUCAGUGUAGCGGUGAAAUGCGUAGAUAUUAGGCGGAACACCAGUGGCGAAGGCGGUAUGCUGGACAGAAACUGACGCUGAGGCGCGAAAGCGUGGGGAGCAAACAGGAUUAGAUACCCGGGUAGUC
rnacentral:rRNA from 1 species